rnacentral:sRNA from 1 species
GCCAGGUGUGGUGGCGUACACCUAUAAUCCCAGCAGCUCGGGAGGCUGAGGCAGGAGGAUCGUGAGUUCAAAGCCAGCCUCAGCAAUUUAGGGAGCCCCUAAGCAACUCAGGGAGACCCUGUCUCUA